AGAGUUUGAUCCUGGCUCAGGACGAACGCUGGCGGCGCGCCUAAUACAUGCAAGUCGAGCGAGAACCGGGACUUCGGUCCCGGGGACAGCGGCGAACGGGUGCGUAACACGUGAGCAACCUGCCCCGAAGACCGGGACAAGCCGGGGAAACCUGGUCUAAUACCGGAUGUCCUCACCGCAUCGCAUGGUGUGGUGAGGAAAUGGAUUCCGCUUCGGGAUGGGCUCGCGGUCUAUCAGCUUGUUGGUGGGGUAACGGCCCACCAAGGCGACGACGGAUAGCUGGUCUGAGAGGACGAUCAGCCACACUGGGACUGAGACACGGCCCAGACUCCUACGGGAGGCAGCAGUAGGGAAUCUUGCGCAAUGGGGGAAACCCUGACGCAGCGACGCCGCGUGCGGGAUGAAGGCCUUCGGGUUGUAAACCGCUUUCAGCAGGGACGAAAUUGACGGUACCUGCAGAAGAAGGCCCGGCCAACUACGUGCCAGCAGCCGCGGUA
rnacentral:rRNA from 1 species